GUAAGGAGUAGGGUGGGGUUAUAUAAAUAGCUGACAUUUUGUCUCUUUACCUCAGCCAUUUUAAUUUUAACGGCAAGGUAACAAUUCCUUCCUGUGCUUGCAGCCUACUGUUACUUUUGCUUACCCCACGGCCAGGAGCAUGGAUAUAGACAGGAUCCUUAGAAGGGCGGCCGCGAGAUCACGUGCCAGCACUUCAUCGCGGUCGGCGCACCGAGC